GCCCCUGUGGUGGAAUGGUAGACACUAGGGACUUAAAAUCCCUUGCCUGAAAAGGCGUGCCGGUUCGAGUCCGGCCGGGGGCACCA
rnacentral:tRNA from 1 species